rnacentral:lncRNA from 1 species
GGGCUGUGAGCAACCUGGUCUAGUGGGAGGUGUCCCUGCCUAAAGCAGGGGGUUGGAACUACAAGAUCUUAAAGGUCCCUUCCAAUGCAAACCAGUCUAUGAUUCUACUGCACAUGUUGUGAUUCUCAACCGGCAGAAGAAAAGAACGUGAAUUACUCUGGCUCUCGGGCACGGAGCCGAGGCGGGUUGCGGCUUCUCGCAGGGAGCUUUUGGGCGAGCUGCCUUCCCCCCGCCGCCAGGAAAGGAGCUGCUCGUUGCGUGCUGCGGAACUCGCCUGAACCAGAAGCGUACGGAACAAAACCAGUCCGAAAUUCUGAGACGUUCCAGGGCCCCAGUACCUGCCUGCAAGAUGGUUUGUUUACACAAGAAAUGCCAGUCCUCAACUGAGUUCUCAGUCUCAAAACAGCCACUGUGCAGCUGUGAGGUUCUGCUCCUGGCAUAUAGAAAGAAUUCCCUGAGUAUGCAGACCUGCCACAGCAGAUCAGAGAGUGGUCCGUCUUGCCCUGUGUUCAAUCUGGAAACCUUUGAUAGUCCUCUGUGUGACUCUGCUUUCAGAAAAGGGGGUAUUGACUGCUAAAAGCAGUCAGCCAUUAGGAAAGUGUUUUCAACUGAGGUGUCCUUUGAAAUCAGGCACAAAACAGGUCUUCUAGCAAGGUCCUCUAAACAAGUUAUUUCUACUUCUACUGCUGCUACAUCUGUUCAAAGCACUAAGUGCUGAGAAAAUGAAAUGCUUAAGCUUUAUAUUAUAGCUACGGGUUAAAUUAUUAUUUAUAUUGAUAGUUAGUAUGAGAUUUAAAGAAGUGCUUUAAAAGCCUGAAAUGAAAAAAAAAGUCAUAGAAUGUAAGAAAGUCUAAGUCUACACUGUCUUGUACAUUGCAUACUUCUGCUACUAAAAUAUGCUGCCAUAUCAAUAUUAAGCAUCCUUCUCUAUAUUAUUUAUUAUAUAGGUCUAAAGACAAAAGGAAUUAAGGCUGGUGGAACAGCACAAGUUCUCCCAUGUCUCCAGGUAGCUUUCUAUCCUAUGUGCUAAUUUUACUUUGCAUAGGGCUGAGAUGUUUUGCAGAAAAACUUCUAAGUGAAAUUAUUUUAAUAAACAGAUUUAAUUUUUAAUAAAGAUGUUAAAA